ensembl:lncRNA
CAAACAUUUAGUGUCAUUCUGCCCCAGCCAUGGGCCCAGAAUCCUCAGCCACCUUACAGCAGUCCCAGCUCAGCAGGAAGUAUCCAGAGAUACCUUGACACUCCUAUUCCCAAAGAACUGGGCCUCCCAUCUCUUGAAGGGAGAAUGUUAGGUAGUUAGAAUAGGAAAAAGGAGUCCAAAAUGAUGGUGGCUAAAAGGCAGAGAAAUGGAAAAGCCCACAAAAAUGGAACAAAAGAAAAUCCAUGGACCAGAGUGAGAACUUCAGGUGAAACAAACAUGUCCCCUUCUUGGCUAGCCCAAUUUGCAUAGGGUAGGCUCAGGAGGGAGGAGACAAAUGGAUAAAACGAGGAAGCCAAGAAGGAUUGAGCCUCUCUCCCUUUGGGUUCAGCACACCCUUGUGCCUCAAUGGGGUACUAUCCUUUGCUUGCUGAAUAAAACGGAACUGUAACUGAUCUGUAACAUUGGUCCGCCAUUUCAAAUCUUUGCUGCGGUGAGACAGACUGAGGAAAUGACACACUCCCCCAACAUAUCUGGUGCCGUGAUUUGUAUUUAACCUGGUUGAAACAACCUCAGCUUGGCCCCAGUGAGGCAGAGACCAAGCACUUGGUGAAAGCAGAGACCAAGUCCAACUUGGUGAAAGCUCACAUGGUGGAAGCCAAACAUGAAGCAAACCCAGUGCAGUGGAAGUGAUGAGAAGCCCGGCAUGCUGGAAACUGGCAUAGCAAAAACAAACUUGGCAGAAAGCUCAUGCAGCUCAGUCUCAGAGUCCAGAAGACUUCUAGUUAAGGCUCUGAGUGCACACCUUGACAUAUUAGGUAGACUCAGCAAAGUGGAAGCUGAUGUUAUCACCAUUUUCAAACAAUAGUCUUGGUAUGCAGAAUCAGGAAGGGCACCAUGAAUGCAAUACAGUGACUCAGAGAACAGAAUGGGAUAGCUGAGCCUUUAGAACAGCAGGGUUAAAGGACCAGGGUUAGAAGAACUCUUAUUAAGGUAAGAUAGCAUGGAGGAAAAAAUCUCAUCCCAGAGAUCUUGAUUCUAUCUUCAGUUUUGCUACUAACCUACUGUGUGAACCUAAGAAAGUCAGUUAACAUCUCUGAGCCUUGGUGUCACCGUCUAUAAAGUGAAAGGUUAAAAGGUACCCUUUAAGAUGCUUCCAGUCUUCCAAUAGUAUUAUACCUUUUGGGGGGAUUUGAUUUUCAUGUCUGUGAGACUAUUAAUAGCCAAGUGCAAACCAAGGAAAG